rnacentral:lncRNA from 1 species
AUGCAAACUAAGAGAUAAAUGAUAUGUCUAAUGAAUACAUCUUUUAUGAUCGGAAUGCUUACCUGAUUGUACGAUUAUCCUGGUAUUCUGAGUGUAUGCUCAGUGUUGUGAUGGGUGUUCUGAAUGUGCUAUCCUCUUCUUGAUAAUUGUGCUAUCUGUGGUCUGAUUGUUGACUUAUGGGUGUGGUAUAUCACUCUUUGAUAUAUGCGUUGCAAAUGUAGUUAUUCUUAGACUCAUAUGAUAUGUCUCUUUAACAACUGUGUAUUGACUGUUCUCUGGUUCUUUUGUAUGGUUAUAGGUUAUGUAUGUGAUCUCUGUUUGGGGCUAUGUAAGUGUAUGUGUGUCUGGAUUUUUCACUAGUU